UAUAUGUGAGUAUGUAUAUGUUUGUGUUUACUAACUAAAGUGAUAAAUGAAUCUGUUUUCCAGUUCCCAGAUAAAGAAAACUUUCCAAAAGAUAAUAGCCUUAAUAUUGAAGACCAUUUUCAAGCGAUAGCUGAGUCCAAGGAAUCAACUGAAAAUUAUUGUAAGUUAAUGGUAAAUAGAAUAUAACAUUUAAAAGUUCUUUAUCAUUGGACAAACUGUCAUGUAAACAUCUGUGCUUUUUUUCCCACAGCUAAUUUAGGUUUCCCUCCUAGAGAUCCAGAACAUUCAUAUCAUUAUUUUGAUUAUAAUUUCAAAUCAACAGAGAAGACUUCAUGGGACGCAAAUAAGGUGACAUCAUCAGAACAAAAGAUAUCCACAUCAAACCCUGCUUCUACUUUUUCUUUGAACACAAGAGAUGAAGACUUCUCUGAGGCAUCCCUGAAAGCAAGAACUUUACCUGAAAUAAAGAAAUCCAAUUCUCUGGAGAACAAGAACCUUCAAAGACUUUCAUUAAAGGUAAAUACCUCUGAGUUAUCCUUCCCAAGUGGGCAGAAAACAAAAUCUGCUUAUCUUCCUCAAAGGCAAAUUCAUAUACCAGCUAUUUUUCAGUCUACUGCUCAUUAUAAGCAGAUUUUUACUGCUUGUCUCAUAGGUAUAACUAUUAUCUUUUAAUUUUAUUAUGAUUUCUGCUUAAUGUAAGUUGUAUAGUUGUAUACUUUU
rnacentral:lncRNA from 1 species